rnacentral:ncRNA from 1 species
CAAAGGCUUGGUCCUGACUUUACUAUCAGCUUUAGACCAAUUUAUACAUGCAAGUAUCCGCACUCCUGUGAGAAUGCCCUCAACCCUCUGCCCGAGGACGAGGAGCAAGCAUCAGGCACAGUACUACCUGGCCCAAGACGCUUUGCUACGCCACACCCUCAAGGGAUCUCAGCAGUAAUAGACAUUAAGCCAUAAGUGAAAACUUGACUUAGUUAGGACUAAAAGGGUCGGUAAAAUUCGUGCCAGCCACCGCGGUUAUACGAAAGACCCUAGUUGAUAGCCACGGCGUAAAGAGUGGUUAAGAAGAUCUAAAAUAAAGCUAAAGACCCUCUAGGCCGUCAUACGCACUCCGAGGGAUCGAGCCCCAAAAACGAAAGUGGCUUUAAAUUUUAACUACCUGACCCCACGAAAGCUAAGAAACAAACUGGGAUUAGAUACCCCACUAUGCUUAGCCUUAAACCUAGAUGUGCCGCUACAAACACAUUCGCCAGGGUACUACGAGCAUAGCUUAAAACCCAAAGGACUUGGCGGUGUCUCAGACCCACCUAGAGGAGCCUGUUCUAUAAUCGAUAACCCCCGUUAAACCUUACCACUUCUUGUUUAUCCCGCCUAUAUACCGCCGUCGUCAGCUUACCCUGUGAAGGAUAAAUAGUAAGCAAAAUAGGUCCACCCAAAAACGUCAGGUCAAGGUGUAGCGUACGAAGUGGGCAGAAAUGGGCUACAUUUUCUAUAACAGAAUAUUACGAAACGGCACCCUGAAAUACGUGCCCGAAGGUGGAUUUAGUAGUAAAAAGAAAAUAGAGAGUUCUUUUGAAUUAGGCUCUGAGACGCGCACACACCGCCCGUCACUCUCCCCAACGCAAUAACCACACUAAUUCAUAAUAGCAUAAGCAGCAACACGGGGAGGCAAGUCGUAACAUGGUAAGUGUACCGGAAGGUGUACUUGGAAUAAU